rnacentral:lncRNA from 1 species
CGCCUUGGACCCGGCACAGAGAGUCGCUGCGCCGCGGCGGCAGCAGCGCUUUCCCCCUUUCCCAUAUGCUGCGAGGCGAAUCAUUGCCUUGCUCUCAGCGCCGGCUGCAGCCAAAAAGGGAAGGGGGAAAAAAAGGAAAAAAAGAACGGAAAAAAAGUUUUCAAUUAAUGAUAAGCCUAGGAACUGGGAAGGGGGUGGGGGAGGAGGCCAAUAAGGGAAAGUUAAAAUGGCUGGCGAUCCUUCAAAUAACCCUGGCCGCCUUCCCCCCGCAGCCUGCACGGCGCUCGCCCGCGCUGGCGCCCUGGGGGAAGCCCCGCACCCCCGACACGCUUCUCCGCGGGGGCGGCCCCGGCGGGAGGGGGGCGAGGGCUGCCCCAGCCCACGCCAGUCCCAGCACUUGAAGGUUAUGGGGCACACGGAGGGCAGGGGCCCUCGCUCCCAUCUUCUCACCCCCAAACUCCGGUCAAAACGCAUCGAGGCGGUGCGAUGGGGGGGGCUACAACGACUGCAGCCCCGCCGACGGGGAGGCGACGCGGCCGGCACCCAGCUUCGCGGCGUGGCGGCGGGAGGUAUUUCCCGGGACUCCGCGGGAAAUACCGAUCCCGUCCGCUCCAGCGGCGGCCCCGUCCCGGCGCCACGAUGCCCGGCUCCCCCGGCCCCGGGCGGGGGUUUCCUUGCGUGGCCCCCGCGGCGGGCAGCCCCCCGUUUCCCCCUGCCACUGCUCCAGUGCAUAACGCACGGAGGCGCCGAUGGGGGGGGGGGAGCCGCGACCCGGCUCUGCCGCAGAAACCCCCGCGCAUCGACGGGGCCCCCCGGCGAGAGGCGGCCUCCCUCCCGCACCCACCCGCCGCGGCAUCUCCGUACCCAGCCCGGCCGCGCCAUUUUAGAGACACACUCACACACACACAAUCACACACACACACGCACGGGAGCGAGGUUUCCGCUGCCGCUGCCAGAGACAACAGGCAGCAGCCGAGCCCGAGCUGCGAAGGAGGAGCGGCAGCAGCGGGAGAGGGGGACACGCACACACACGCACGCGCACCCGCCCCGCGGAAAUGUGCAUUUCAGAUCACAAAUUAUAUUUCAUGCUGUCAGGAUCUUCUCCAAGUGGACUUCCUUGCAUGUCUAA